rnacentral:rRNA from 1 species
UACGAAGGGGGCUAGCGUUGCUCGGAAUUACUGGGCGUAAAGCGCACGUAGGCGGUCUUUUAAGUCGGGGGUGAAAUCCUGGAGCUCAACUCCAGAACUGCCUUCGAUACUGGAAGACUCGAGUCCGGGAGAGGUGAGUGGAACUGCGAGUGUAGAGGUGAAAUUCGUAGAUAUUCGCAAGAACACCAGUGGCGAAGGCGGCUCACUGGGCCGGUACUGACGCUGAGGUGCGAAAGCGUGGGGAGCGAACGGG